UCAAAGUUUUUUGGUUCUUGGUAUUUUUGUUCUUUGGAUUUUGCCUCAACUGAUUAAACCUUCAAGAUUCACCCUGCCUCCUGAUCUCUGCAUUUAGGUCCUCAAGCAACCUCACCACCCAUUGUUGACGCCAUCUGGUUCUUGGUCACCUGCUGGUUCCAACCUUCCUCCAUACCAGUGACAGAGCCACUGACAUCAUAGGGACCUUCACAGCAGCAGAUGUUUCUGGAUCCUUCUGCAGGUCCCUGGAAGGGUCAUUUCCAGCAGUUCUGGACGUCCUUCCACGUCUCCCUGCAGUCAUCGCUCCAUCGGAUCCUGCAGCUGCGGGUUGAAUGGGCUCGUCUUCUCCGCGGCGAUUAAGAUAAAAGCCGAGCUACAUUUAUCCACCUGCUGCGACACAAGGACGGAGCGAGAGCCUUCUGAGUGAAGCUUUUAAUCUGCAUCUGAAUGUAUCUGCAGAGCAACGUUUGUUGAUCAGCAGAGGAAAACAUUAACAGUAGCAAAACACAAGGUCGCCUGGAUCGGCCUUGUGAUGCACAGAGGAACCUGCUGCCUGCUGCUUCACCGCAGAGAACCGCAGCUACAA